CAUAUGUGAGCGAGUUGGUCCACCAUCUGCACUGCACUCUCCAAAUGCUCAGCAAGCGCUCUCUUCAGGGUCACCACGAGUCCCCAUUAUACAGAUGGACAACCAGAGAGAACAGAAGCGCCUGCCGCCUUCCCACUGCUUCUCCUGGGAUCCACAGAAAGAAAUAGGCUCCAUUUCCCUCACUGAAAUGAUUGUCUUAACAACAGCAGCAGAAAAAACCCAACAACUUUUUCCUGAUCACAGAUACAGUGUUCAGCGUAAAACCACAUCCACCAGGAAACAUGGCGACUACCUAGACUGACUCCAAGAAGAGAGUGAAAACAGGUUCCUUCUGCCUUCCCAGCACUUCCGGUGUCGGACACAGGACAGCCCGGGGCUGCACUGCGGCAUCAAGAGGAGGCUUCACGGGUGAGCUGAGAUGAAGAUGCGUGAAAUCCACUGCUUUCUCCCCAAUGAAAAAUGACAGCCAUAAUAACAAAGACAUGAAAAUAGAAAACCUGCCUGCUCGUCCACUCUGACAACGUCACCGAAUGUGGCAUUGUUCCACCCACGAGGAAAUUCUUUAACCUCACUAAGCCUCAUGGUCCUCAUCUGCAAAGUGGGGCUGGACCCAGUGUCCAUGGCUCACGCCCAGGGACUCUGGUGAUUAAACGCCUCACUGCGGGUGUCAAGAACCCGGCACAGCGCCAGCACCCGGGGAGAGCUGUUAAUCCCGGGAAUUCUCCCACCAUGCCUCGCUUAAAGGCCUCGCUUGGACAGGCAAAUGGGGACUCGCCAGUGGAGGCCGUGACGGAGCCGCCCUGAAACGCAGCCCACAGCAUCUCUGUCCACAGCUGACAGGUGUGACGUAAUCAGGUCAGUCAGUGGCCAGGAUCCUCCUGGAAGUCUGGACUCGGAGGAGUCUGAGGGAGUCGCCUAACUCACCGCGGCACUGCAUGAGGACAGGAGGGGAGGUCACAGGCCGGCCGACCUCACUUGGAAGAGGGGUGAGAAUGGAAGGCUCAGCGCUGCAGACUCACGGGUGAAGGUGUCAGAGCUCAAACAUGCCCUCCAUUGAGCCAUAAAGAGCAUUCUGCAUACCCCGCCCGCCCUAGGAAAUCACCAGGCAUGGGUGGCUUCCUGCCCUCUGGAGACCUCCCCAAACUGUUCACCUGCUCCCUCAAAUCAAAGACCACCAAGGAGACUUCAAGGUCAAACUCAAAGUGUCAGUUUGCAAGUGACUCGAGAGAGACUGAUCUUACUGUGACAGAAAAGCCUGGAGUCUCGGUGACUCUGUGCACCAAACAGGUGGACAGGACUUGCUGGUAUCACGUGGUUCACGGGAGUCAAAAGAGGGCCUCGUGUCACAGUUAGUUUAUGAAGAUAGACAGAUGAGGGGCUGCCCUGAGGGAGUGGUUGCCUCCAAAUCAGAGAUCUAAGAAUAGCUGCAAGCAAGAAAAGCAAGGUCCACCUGAGUGCAGCUCCCUCUGCCAGGACAGACGCAGAGCCAUAGGCACUCAGACACCAAGCCACCCUCCCCAGACCAGCUAAGCCAUGGGAGACAAGCGCACACUGGGAGUUUACCGUGCCUGCUCUCCACUCCUCAUUUCUGUGUCCUCCUCCCUGGAUGGGUGCUCACCCUGCUCACGAUGACUCCAGCCGCUGGGACAGGCACCAACUUCACCUUGGAAUCUGCCUGACGUGCCGGACAGAUCUACUCAGACCAGGAUGAAAUCCCUUUUUAUCAAAAUGUGCAAAUGCAAUCAGAGAGAGGAGCAAGGGCUUGUGCCUUAUGACUUCGGGGCCCUGAGAGAGGCAGAUUCAAUGGCGUGAGGACAGAACACACCAAGGAGAGGCGGAGAAGGAAGUGGGGUGGCUGGGAAGGGGAUGCCCUCAGUCAGGGCUGUAGCUGCUGGCCCCAGAGGGGACAGGGCAGAGUGAGGAAUGUUCCCCAGAGGCUGAGCUGGUGACCAGUGAGACAGGCACCCAGAAAAGUCAGGCAGCAGACUCUGGAGACUCAGCUUGUGCUGGCUAAGAGAUAACAGGAGCAGGAGAGAGAUCCUCAGCAAACGGGAACGGGACUCAGAGAUGGAAGCGGGGGGAGGAAGAAGAGGGCAGGAGGACGGCAAAGGGAUUGAGAGGUGCUGAGUACCUGCAAGAGCUCCGCACAGGGAGUGUGAUCAGCACGCACUGGAAUGUGGUCUGAUGCAAAUGUUAAAGGGAAUGCAUGGUCCUUACCAGCACAGGGAAGUGACGGUAAAUCACAACUGAAGGUGAAAGAAUCCCUACUUUGUUUUGAAAUAAUAGAAUCUCACAACAAAGCCACUUACCCCAUUUGGUAAUUUUAUAAAAUAACAAAACUGAGGCUCAAAGCCAGGCCCACUGGGUUCCCUAGGGUAUUGCUUUGCAAAUAGGUUUCAGGUGAGUUCCCAUCAACAUCCAUUUUCAAAGCAAAGUAGAAAAAAUAAACAAAAGCACCACGUGCCUUUGUCAACUACUGUAGUUGGAGCUGUCCUGGAAAUAGAGCCUAAGACAGGAAUUAUUUUCAAGUUUGGAGGAGCAGGAAAUCCUGGUAGGAGCAUGGGGCAGUAACAGAGAGAUGGAGGGAGUGUGGAUGAGACAGUGAAGUGUGUGCCCCGCACCUCGGCUCUCUGAGAGCAGACAGCUCACCAGCUGGGGACGGGAGAGACGGAGUCGCAGGAGCUUCUCCCACCAUGGAAAGGAGCAGCCAAGGUGUUUGUCCACUCUUCCCACCUGUCACUGCUGUAGGUCUGUGCCCUUUCAGCCGGUCUGCAGGUGGGCAAAGGACACUUCCCCAGCUUUGGGAGGAGGCUGCAGGCAAAGAGCUGGACACAUCAGCACCUACAGAUCAGCAUGACCGCAUGGGAACAGGAGAUCUGAGGUUCGGAGAGGCACCUGCACCGCGGCUGCAGUGGUGAGAGGUGGUGUCAUCCACUUCCCGAGCAGCUGUAUUUCUGCUUGCCUCUGUACUGCAGACAAAUAGAAAAGGAAAACUCACCUUUCUUUUGUGCACAGUUUCACUUGGUGCUCCACAGGGGUGGCAGGCACAAAAUAUCGCCUCAGUAACUUACUUUUGCCCUCCACCCAGCUUUUCAAACUCUGUGUCCCGUACCUGCUACACCGUCAGCCUCACAUACACAUAAUGCACAGCCGGAACCACCCACUUAUCAACAUGCCAUGGUCAUGUUCAACAUAGACACCCAGAUGUGUGCAUUUCACGAGUUUUAAGCCAAGUGUAAGUGUGUUGCAAGCUUCAGAAUAUUAUAGCCCUUUAAAUCUAAUGAGAUGAGAGAAGAUUGAGUAGAUAUCUAUCAUUCCGGUCAUGGACUUUAGAAAUACGACCUACACGUUGGUGUCUUUUUUGCAUAACAAAGAGAAACAUAGGUGAACACUGUACCGUCCUUACAAAUAAGCAAGUACAUUUCAAAGAGUUUAAAAGGAAGUCUAUGUCUCAAAUAAAACUUUAUGCAUUCUACUGGUGUCACCUAAAAAACUAUUUGGAAAGUUGAUUUCUAGAAUCAUUAAACUUAAAGUCAUUUUAAUGUACAAAUCUCUGACAAGACCUAGAAGUGUAACCUA